rnacentral:rRNA from 1 species
AACGGGAGGGGCGAGCGUUAUUCAUGAUUAUUGGGCGUAAAGGGUACGCAGGCGGUUGCUGGCAGUAAAUCCGGAAAACCCAGAGUUUAACUCCGGCAAAGGAUUUAAACGCAGCGACUAGAGUCAUCAAGAGGAUAGUAGUACUUUUAAAGUAGAGAUGAAAAACGUCGAUAUUAAAAAGACUCCCAAAAGCGAAGGCAACUAUCCAUUAAUGAACUGACGCUAAGGUACGAAGGCAUGGGUAUCAAACCGG